UUUUUUUUCAAAGAAGGUUGGAAUUUGAUCGCCUAUGUUUUAAAGCUUCUAUUUAGUUUUUACUUUAAAAAAAUACAAUCAUUAUCUGGUGGUGGGCGUCGCAAAAUCACGUGAUAGAUGCCACAGAUUUGAAAGUACUGCAAGAGUGCUCGCGAGAGAUAGAGAGAGAGAGAAAGAGAGCAAGAGACAUUGCCAGAGUGUGCUUCGAACUGCGAUUCGUCAGCUCAGUGAUCGUUGCCUCUACGCCGCCUCCAAAUGAGGAUGCAGAAAAGUGGAAAGAGGAAGAAAUGAUAGAGCUCGGGCCCUUAGUUAAGAUAGAUGCUGUUAACCAUGAACUAGUUGCUCUGGAGAGGGGAUUAUCAACACUUCAAAAGAAUGCCCGGUCACUAUCUUGUGGCUUCCAUGCAGCUUAGUUGUGUUUCCAUUAAAUUUCUGGAGCAAGGGACAGCUACAUGUACCAUUGUCAACUAGCCACCCAGUUUUGCAUGCAGUGGAUAAUUGUCAUAUCAUGUUUGUAGUAGAAAGUCAAUUGCCUAUACUUUGGAGACAAAAGGAUAUUCCAUGUGAUUUGGGUGGGAUUUGAUUAAGGUCUACCGGCACAAGUGUAUUGUCAAACUCAAAUGAAGUGUUUUCAGUUGGGGGUUCAGCCAUGUGAAACAUGGAUGCUCCAAUACCAUCUUAUUCAUGAUGGUUACUUAAAUGAAUACAAUCCAAACGGCAGUGGCAUAUACUAUAUAUCUACAUAUGUAUAUUCUCAGGGAUGUGUCAUAUUAGGUAUAUUGUAAUUCGCAGGGUGUACAUCCCACAUGACUGGAAGGUAAUAUGUUUUUAUAUGUGAAAUAUGGCGCUGUGAGAUAACUAAUACGGAAGUAGAAAGGGAUUUCUUUUGGA